GGAUCAAUUUGCUGGCCGUGCCUCUGGUACGUACUGGUAUUAUUGGUUUCUCCCUUCUGACGAACCAUGAUGUCAUUAAUUUGAUGUCGUGGAGAAUCAGGACUGUUACUUUGAAAAAAUUAGAGUGUUUAAAGCAGGCAUUAGCUUGAAUACAUUAGCAUGGGAUAAUGUAAUAGGACGUUUGAUCCUAUUUUGUUGGUUUCUAGGACCAAAGUA
rnacentral:rRNA from 1 species